GUAGAAAUUUAUUUCUUUAUUUAUCUAAUGAAAUUCAAUGACCUGUAUUUUAGGGCUUUGGCAAGUUUAGAGACACUGCUCCUUAACACCAACCCAAUAGAAAUGUCUAUCUGGAGAGUGUGAGCAAGGUUCCUAGGUUAAGCUUUUUGAUUGGGGUUCUUAUACAAAUUAUUUUCUUCUCUAUCUUUCUAUUGAUUUAGCUCUAAAUCGAGAAAAAGGGAAGAAAAUGAGCCGUAUAGCUUAUCCCCUUACAUUGGGAUUUGGGUGUAACUGUGUAGUUGACUUGAGUUAUUGUGGCACCUUCAUCGUGGCUGGAGUUUAUUGAAGAUCUUCAAUGUGAAUGCCAAACUAGAUGAAGCAUGGCUUACCUAGAAAAUAUUACCUCUUUUUUCUAAUUACUAAGACUUUGUUAUAUUACAUUAGGAUGGCGAUGCUAGACCUGUGGUUGUGGGAUCAUGACUCCUCAUUCAUGCAAAAAUGAGAUGAUUUCCUAGCGCUGUCUAGUCCAUUCCUGCUGCAUGUCAAUUAAAUCUUUGUGAAGAAUUGCAGGAGGAGUGUAUGUUACAUGAAGGACAAAAAAAAAAGAUGGGAAGAAAGUGGUGUGAGUAGAAGACCUAGUUGCGGUUCCUCUAAAGAGAGAAGCUAAGCCCUUGUCGACUAACACUAUAUUUUGAAGUUUUUGUUCGAUAUGAAAAGAAAGGAUAUGUUUAACCCAUGGGGAAGGAAAAGGAAAGAAAUGAAAUGUUAAGCAAUUUAUCAUGUUUGGAAGAUAAGAAAAGAUUUUAAGGAUAUAAUAGUCAUAUUAAAAAAUAUUUUAAAUGUUACUCAAUUUUGAUGAAAAAGUAUAGUGGGGUUUGAAGGAUAACUUAUCCCUCCUUUUCCUUUAUUUUCCCACCUCAUAAAACUCCCAAACAGGAGAUAUCAUUUAUCGCUUUGUCUUACCCUUUCCUUUCCAUUCCUAUCCCUCUAUCCAAACUAAGUGUAAGUGUAUGUGUCGGACACAUAAUCCGUGUCGUGUCAUGUCAACACAGGUAUGACAGAGCAAAAUGAGGAGUCAGAGUAUUAGAAUUUGUAACUAGUGGCUAGGAUAGGAAUUUAUGACUCAUAGUUUGGACAACCAUCUAGCUCAAAUUAGGGGUGUGCAUUAUUCAGGUAUAACUGAAUUACUAAACUGAACCGAUGAAAAUUCAAUUAUUUCAGUAAGGACAUUUGGUUGUCGGUUUAGUUAGUGAUUUCUAAAAUUUUUUGUUUUCGGGUAUCAAUUUGGUUAACUCCAAUUUGACAUCUAAAAUAACUAAUUUUUUA
rnacentral:misc_RNA from 1 species